rnacentral:rRNA from 1 species
CGCUUGCUCCCUGAAGUUAGCGGCGGACGGGUGAGUAACACGUGGGCAACCUGCCUGUAAGACUGGGAUAACUCCGGGAAACCGGGGCUAAUACCGGAUAAUUCUUGUCCUCUCAUGAGGAUAAGCUGAAAGACGGCUUCUCGCUGUCACUUACAGAUGGGCCCGCGGCGCAUUAGCUAGUUGGUGAGGUAACGGCUCACCAAGGCAACGAUGCGUAGCCGACCUGAGAGGGUGAUCGGCCACACUGGGACUGAGACACGGCCCAGACUCCUACGGGAGGCAGCAGUAGGGAAUCUUCCGCAAUGGACGAAAGUCUGACGGAGCAACGCCGCGUGAGCGAUGAAGGCCUUCGGGUCGUAAAGCUCUGUUGUUAGGGAAGAACAAGUAUCGGAGUAACUGCCGGUACCUUGACGGUACCUAACCAGAAAGCCACGGCUAACUACGUGCCAGCAGCCGCGGUAAUACGUAGGUGGCAAGCGUUGUCCGGAAUUAUUGGGCGUAAAGCGCGCGCAGGCGGUCCUUUAAGUCUGAUGUGAAAGCCCACGGCUCAACCGUGGAGGGUCAUUGGAAACUGGGGGACUUGAGUGCAGAAGAGGAGAGUGGAAUUCCACGUGUAGCGGUGAAAUGCGUAGAGAUGUGGAGGAACACCAGUGGCGAAGGCGACUCUCUGGUCUGUAACUGACGCUGAGGCGCGAAAGCGUGGGGAGCGAACAGGAUUAGAUACCCUGGUAGUCCACGCCGUAAACGAUGAGUGCUAAGUGUUAGAGGGUUUCCGCCCUUUAGUGCUGCAGCAAACGCAUUAAGCACUCCGCCUG